CCGUCAGGGAAGAUGUCUUAGUAGUCGAGCUUCCGGUUUGCUAGAUACCCCACUACAUGAUAACUGAUGAUUUAAAAUGUAUUGUAGCGUUUUCCGC